AUUUCACAUAAUAAAAAUUCCUCUUUUCUCAAGUACAUAUACCCUUACAAUAGAAAUGAGUUAGUCAUUUGUUCAUUGACUAAAUAUAUAUUGAGUACCUUCUGGUUGUCGUUACAGAUUCUAGGGGUACAAUGGUGAACAGGCGAAUGGAAUGGUGAAGUCAAGUCCUGGAGAUGACUGGUGUUAGUCCCCAGUUGUACUAAACCUGUUUUCAUGGAGUUUACACAAGAAGUGGAGACAAAAGACAGACAAUAACCAAGUAGUCAGUAAACCAAUAAAAUAAUUUCAGACAGUGGUAAGAGAGAUAAGAUAAUAAUAGCAGUGUGAUAAGAUAGAGACCCGACACUGCAGUGGGAGACUAAUUUUAGUGGCUAGGGAAAGCCUCAUUUUAUCCAAUACAGUGAAGGUAGUUUCACUGUUAAAAAAAAUACAUUUUACAUUAAAGAGAGUAUAUGCAUAUUUAUUUACUUAAUCGAUUUUCAAAAUAGCCUUUCUUAUUAUACAGAUGAAAACCGAGGCUCAGGGAAUUAAGGAAAUUGCCCAAGGCCACACAUAGCUACUAAAUGACAGAGCUGGGAUUCAAACGUUGGUCCAAUUAACCCAAAGCCCAUGCUGUCUCCACUAUACCAUAUUGCCACUCACCAAGACAGGCUCUUGAGAAAAAGGGCUUGUGUUACUGUUAGGUUUGAACAAUCUUUUUUAGUAUGUUUGAGGCCUUUUUUAACCUGUUUUCUACAUCAAAAAUAGUAAUACACAAUAUUUAUGUGAUGUUUUUCCAGGCACUUUUGUUAUCAUCAUCUCACUAUCACAUAACCACUCAGUAAGAUACAGAGCACUCACAGACCUUCGAGACCACUUUUAUAACUGAAAUGUAAAAGUUGAGUGAUUUUCCAUGAUUACAUAGCUGUGGAAUGGUGGAUAUAAACUAGAUUCGGAUUUCUUGGCUUUUAAUCUUUUUUUUUUCUCCAAUAUGCCUGUACAAAAUGUUUGUUUCCUUUUAAAGUACUGAGUUUAAGAGUUUAAAUCCAAAUAAAACCUGAGAAUUAAUUUUCAUUUCUGAUGCAGAAUACCAAGGAUUUCUCCAUUAGUCCUGGUAACUUCAUUGCGAAGAAAUGGUAAAGAGAAUAAAAGGGAGUAAGAUAAACACUGUACAGGUUUGGUGUGGAGAUUACUGAUGAAGAGUUUGACUUACUACUUGACAGAAUCCCCUUGAUGAAGAUGGAAAUGUCAGAGACCCCAGUUCAUGGCCAUGUUGGAUUCUUAGCACUCCUUUUCCACAUUUUCUCAUGUCUUUGUAAUUUUUUUAUUCUUGUUUUUAAUACAGAGAAUGUACCCCUAAAAGUACUAGGAUUAUUUAAAUUUUCUCUUUAUUGCCUAGUAUCUUACUUAUUAAUAUUUUCUAAGUGACGAAGGAUUUUUGAAAAAACAUUGUUAACAAAAAGGUAGAAUUUUUACAUGAUGAACUACGGCAAUGCAUUUGAAACUAUUUAAUGUCUUAGAACCUGAAUAGUGGACAUGGGAGGAUAAUGUGUGACUGAGAUGACAAACGAGGCAUGUGAACUGUGUUUGCAGAGUUGGAAAGAAAAUUGCAGUAAGUGACAAAAGUCAAGUCCUGGAGAUGACCGGUAUUUAGUCCCCAGUUGCACUAAACACUCCCCCACACACUGACCUUUUACCCCCUCACUCACCUCCCAAGGGACUCCCAUUACGAGACAUCUUUCUACUUUCUUUCCAGAGGAGUCUGCCUGGACAGUAGAGUACACACCCAUUGCCAAUGGUUGUGUUAAAGGCAGAGCAAGAAUGCUUUCUGAAAUACUCUCAAUCUGUAUUUUUCUAUCUGGGAACCCAAAUUUUUACUCUUUUCUAAAAUCUUUUCAUGGAUUUUAUAGGGUAGUUCAAGGCUUAAGCAUUUAAAAUUCUGAUCAGUAUUGACCAUUUUAUUCCUCGAGUACUUUAAGGCAUGUUGCAGUCCCAGGCAUCUGAUGAGUUGGGCUGAAGCCAUUGAAAGAUGGGCUGCUUCUUCCCAAAGAUACUUUUUUUCCCAGAGCAGUUUCAGAAUAUAACUAUCUUCAUCCCAUAUGCCUCCUGGACCAUCCUCCAAAUCUCAUGAUUAUCUCUUUAGCCACGAAACCCACCCAUGUUUUCUGUUAAUUCUUGAUAGCAGGGUGGAAGUUAGCAACCUGGUUUGGCCUAAAGGGCAUGAGAAGAGCAUGCUGCAAGUCAGAGAAUGUCCUCAGACAGAGUCACAGGUGCUGGCAGUAGAAAGCCCUCGAAGUGAAAAAGAACCAGGAGUGCUGAGGAAGUACCAGUAGGCCUUACCUAAAGGUUCAAGUGAUUCUCCUGCCUUAGCCUCCCGAGUAGC